UACGGGGGGAGCAAGCGUUGUUCGGAUUUACUGGGCUUAAAGGGUGCGUAGGCGGCGCGGAAAGUUGGGUGUGAAAUCCCUCGGCUCAACCGAGGAAUUGCGCUCAAAACUACCGUGCUCGAGGGAGAUAGAGGAGCGCGGAACUUAGGGUGGAGCGGUGAAAUGCGUUGAUAUCCUAGGGAACACCGGUGGCGAAAGCGGCGCUCUGGAUCUCAUCUGACGCUGAUGCACGAAAGCUAGGGUAGCGAACGGG
rnacentral:rRNA from 1 species